rnacentral:rRNA from 2 species
GUUGCGAAAGCGUGGGGAGCAAACAGGAUUAGAUACCCUUGGUAGUCCACGCCCGUAAACGAUGUCAACUAGUCCGUUCGGGUCUCUCAGAAGAAGUUGAGUGGCGCAGCUAACGCACUAAGUUGACCGCCUGGGGAGUACGGUCCGCAAGGUUAAAACUCAAAUGAAUUGACGGGGGCCCGCACAAGCGGUGGAGCAUGUGGUUUAAUUCGACUGCAACGCGAAGAACCUUACCUGUGCCUUGACAUCCAGAGAACUUUCCAGAGAUGGAUUGAGUGCCUUCGGGAACUCUGAGACAGGUGCUGCAUGGCCGUCGUCAGCUCGUGUCGUGAGAUGUUGGGUUAAGUCCCGUAACGAGCGCAACCCCUAUCCCUGGUUGCUAGCAGGUAAUGGUGAGAACUCCAGGGAGACUGCCGGUGACAAACCGGAGGAAGGUGGGGAUGACGUCAGGUCAUCAUGGCCCUUACGGCCAGGGCUACACACGUGCUACAAUGGCGCGUACAGAGGGCUGCCAACUCGCGAGAGUGCGCCAAUCCCUUAAAACGCGUCGUAGUCCGGAUCGGAGUCUGCAACUCGACUCCGUGAAGUCGGAAUCGCUAGUAAUCGCGAAUCAGAAUGUCGCGGUGAAUACGUUCCCGGGCCUUGUACACACCGCCCGUCACACCAUGGGAGUGGAUUGCACCAGAAGUAGUAUAGUCUAACCUUC